GACGAACGCUGGCGGCGUGCCUAAUACAUGCAAGUAGAACGCUGAAGGAGGAGCUUGCUUCUCUGGAUGAGUUGCGAACGGGUGAGUAACGCGUAGGUAACCUGCCUGGUAGCGGGGGAUAACUAUUGGAAACGAUAGCUAAUACCGCAUAAGAGUAGAUGUUGCAUGACAUUUGCUUAAAAGGUGCAAUUGCAUCACUACCAGAUGGACCUGCGUUGUAUUAGCUAGUUGGUGGGGUAACGGCUUACCAAGGCGACGAUACAUAGCCGACCUGAGAGGGGGUCGGCCAAACCGGGAACGGGAACACGCCCAGACUCCUACGGGAGGCAGCAGUAGGGAAUCUUCGGCAAUGGACGGAAGUCUGACCGAGCAACGCCGCGUGAGUGAAGAAGGUUUUCGGAUCGUAAAGCUCUGUUGUAAGAGAAGAACGAGUGUGAGAGUGGAAAGUUCACACUGUGACGGUAUCUUACCAGAAAGGGACGGCUAACUACGUG
rnacentral:rRNA from 1 species